UACGUAGGUGGCAAGCGUUACUCGGAAUCACUAGGCGUAAAGCGCAGGUAGGAGGUUUAGUAAGUCUGUUGUGAAAGCUCCCGGACUUAACUGGGAGAAGGUCAACGGAAACGUGACUAGGCUAGAGUGGCGGUAGAAGGGUAGAUGGAAUUCCCGGUGUAGCUGGUGAAAUGCGGUAGAUAUCGGGAGGAAUACCUAUGGCGAAAGCAGUCUACUGGACCGUCACUGACUCUGAUCUGCGAAAGCUAGGGGAGCGAAACAGG
rnacentral:rRNA from 1 species